rnacentral:rRNA from 1 species
UACGAAGGGUGCAAGCGUUAAUCGGAAUUACUGGGCGUAAAGCGUGCGUAGGCGGUUUCGUAAGUCUGCUGUGAAAUCCCCGGGCUCAACCUGGGAAUGGCAGUGGAAACUGGGAGGCUAGAGUGUGUCAGAGGAUGGUGGAAUUCCCGGUGUAGCGGUGAAAUGCGUAGAGAUCGGGAGGAACAUCAGUGGCGAAGGCGGCCAUCUGGGACAACACUGACGCUGAGGCACGAAAGCGUGGGGAGCAAACAGG